rnacentral:lncRNA from 1 species
UAGACGCUUAACCCACCCAACCACCUAGGCUACCCUGGCUUAGGAGGAGUUAAUAAGGUGGGGCGGUAACAGUGAGGACAAACAGGAGGCUGGAUUCCAAGGGAGGCUAAGGACAGGGCAGUGGCUAUGGCAGCAAUGGGAGCGGAGAAGUGGGAAGAAAGACACCCUCCCCCCUCCACUUGACAGCCCUCUCUCUGCAGGUGCGUUUUUACCCUGCGCUAGCCAAUUCGAGAGCCCCUUGUCUGACUGGCCAGAAACUCUAAGCUAUCAUAUGCAAACUAUUAGUCUGUUCUAGAAGGAUCACAGGGAACCAGCACUGAAGAAAUGAAAUUCAGCUAAUCCCUCCAAGAAACUGAAGUUUCAGGACAUUUGAAAGGCAGACACAGGCUGACUCCUGCCCACAGACCACCGAAAGCUAAAGUGUACCUGAAAGCCAU